rnacentral:rRNA from 1 species
GAUCAUGGCUCAGGAUGAACGCUAGCUACAGGCUUAACACAUGCAAGUCGAGGGGCGGCAUGGUCUUAGCUUGCUAAGGCCGAUGGCGACCGGCGCACGGGUGAGUAACACGUAUCCAACCUGCCGUCUACUCUUGGACAGCCUUCUGAAAGGAAGAUUAAUACAAGAUGGCAUCAUGAGUCCGCAUGUUCACAUGGUUAAAAGGUAUUCCCGUAGACGAUGGGAGUG